rnacentral:rRNA from 1 species
CUGGCGGCGUGCCUAAUACAUGCAAGUCGAACGGUCUUUUCUAUGGAAGCUUGCUUCCACUGAGAAGAUAGUGGCGAACGGGUGAGUAACACGUGGGUAACCUGCCCAUAAGAGGGGGAUAACAUCCGGAAACGGGUGCUAAUACCGCAUAGUUUUCUUGAUCGCAUGAUCGGGAAAGGAAAGACGGCCUUUGUGCUGUCGCUUAUGGAUGGACCCGCGGCGUAUUAGUUAGUUGGUGAGGUAACGGCUCACCAAGACGAUGAUACGUAGCCGACCUGAGAGGGUGAUCGGCCACAUUGGGACUGAGACACGGCCCAAACUCCUACGGGAGGCAGCAGUAGGGAAUCUUCCGCAAUGGACGAAAGUCUGACGGAGCAACGCCGCGUGAGUGAAGAAGGUUUUUCCGGAUCGUAAAACUCUGUUGUCAGAGAAGAACAAGUUGGAGAGUAACUGCUCCAGCCUUGACGGUAUCUGACCAGAAAGCCACGGCUAACUACGUGCCAGCAGCAGC